GAAUCGCACAUCCACACAUCUUUCAAACUCGAGUUAUUUGCUUGGCUUUCAUCGGCUAUUUUCUUGACAUCUUUAUUACCCCCAUUUCCAGAGGCUAAGCGGGUAAGGCAAGGAAACCCAUUAGUCCAGAAGUGGGAAAAAGGAGAAAGGUAAGGAAACCCAUUAGUCUAGAAGUAGUAAAAAGGAGAAAGGUAAGGAUUGCGAAGCCCUCUGACCCCGUUCACCCACAUAUCAUUUUCAAACAGGGAUCUAACUUCUUGUGGGCCUUUCUUAUUCUUGAGUUCCGUAGAGCUGAUUCCAAGCCAUAAACAUUUGGAAUUGCAAAAGUGUCGAAUGUGCUUGAAAAGAAAGGCCUUACGACCGUUCAGUUAGGCGCUCCUUGCAAGAUAGCAUUUCAUUGACCGAUACUUUCUUGCUUAUUUUCUGAACUUUGACUUGGAAUUGCCCCAUUUGUAGAUUCUCGAAUGUAGUUGGUGGCGAUAUUACAGAUAUGAAAGCCAUUGAUUCUCUGGAUUGGGAAGAACAAAAGUAUCAGAGGAUGGGAUGGAGCAAGAAGAUUACCAAGAGGAAGAUGACCAGGGACGGGACCCUGGGUCCGAGUGCUGAAGCGUUCCAUUCCAAUGCGAGACGAUCCAGGCCAUAUGCUCUAACCCUUCCUUAUGAUCCCAGUAUAGCCCGCCAUCGACCUCCCUCGCCCUUGUCCGGCUAGACUAAACUAGGCCUCAGCUCAGUGAUGGAGUCUAACCCUAAAGGCCCGUUGGGGUUUGGGUCCCGUGUGGGGUCUAUAGGCAAACCCUUAUCCUGAAAAACCAUUAAUGGCUUAUAGUACCAUACCAGUUCUUAGCCCCUUGACUAUGCCCAUUCCCACUCUUCGGCACAGAACGACAGAAAGAAAGCUGUGAAAGAAAUGCCUUAGCGCUCCCCUGUUACCACCACCCCCUUCUCCGCAAAAGCUGGGUCUAUCUUGAAUGUAUCCUCUGCCUCCAUGGGAAAAGGCUAAGUCCCGUUCUCUCUUUAGAAAGGUAAAAGAUACCCUGAUAAUAGUGCUAUAGAUAAUAGUGCUAUGGUUUAUAGUGCGUGCUAUACUAGAUAAUAGUGCAAUGGUUGAUGGUGCUCUAGAUGAUAAUGCUAUAGAUAAUAGUGCAAUGGUUGAUGGUGCUAUGGUUGAUGGCGAACAUCUCCUUGAAGACGUCAAACUAGAAUGGCAUGCCCCGACCCGACGUCACAAGGUCCCAGCAAAGCUCGACUUAGG
rnacentral:lncRNA from 1 species